UCGUACAGGUCUCCGUAGGUGAACCUGCGGAGGGAUCAUUACAAGAACGCCCGGGCUACGGCCUGGUUAUUCAUAACCCUUUGUUGUCCGACUCUGUUGCCUCCGGGGCGACCCUGCCUUCGGGCGGGGGCUCCGGGUGGACACUUCAAACUCUUGCGUAACUUUGCAGUCUGAGUAAACUUAAUUAAUAAAUUAAAACUUUUAACAACGGAUCUCUUGGUUCUGGCAUCGAUGAAGAACGCAGCGAAAUGCGAUAAGUAAUGUGAAUUGCAGAAUUCAGUGAAUCAUCGAAUCUCUGAACGCACAUUGCGCCCCCUGGUAUUCCGGGGGGCAUGCCUGUUCGAGCGUCAUUUCACCACUCAAGCCUCGCUUGGUAUUGGGCAACGCGGUCCGCCGCGUGCCUCAAAUCGUCCGGCUGGGUCUUCUGUCCCCUAAGCGUUGUGGAAACUAUUCGCUAAAGGGUGUUCGGGAGGCUACGCCGUAAAACAACCCCAUUUCUAAGGUUGACCUCGGAUCAGGUAGGGAUACCCGCUGAACUUAAGCAUAUCA
rnacentral:rRNA from 1 species